CUGUUUACACCUUCACAUUGCUUCCUUAACGUUGAAUCAAACCUUGUUCAUCAACUUCAAACGUCUUCAUCAUCAUCCAUUACAAAAACUUCAUUUAAAAGGAUAAGAUUGUGAACAAAAAGAUGGUUUGAGUAGUGUGAAAGAAGUGGUCCCAAGAUUAGGGAUUUUGAAUUGUGAUAAUUUAAACCAGCCAGGUACUGACACGUGUCAUCCUAGCUUUAUGGAUUUCCUUAGCCAUCACCUUGAUUGUAAUUGUAUAAAUGUAACUCUACCUUCACCUCUUCCAUUUUCCAUUCUCCAUACACAUUUUUUUACAACAGAAAGAUAUAUAUAUAUAAAAAAUACAUAUACAUGCAUAGGAUUCAAAAGGGAAGGCAAGCAAACAUAAAAUAAUGAAGAAGGUAGCAGAAUUCGUCAAGGAUGUAGUAAACAUGUUGAAGAGGAAGACAAGAGCGUUUAAGACACGUCUUGUAAUAUUCUCGCUGCUCCACGACAGAAACAUGAUGGUGAGCUCAUGGUCUCACAAGCUUAAGGCCAAACCAACAUCAAGAAAGCUAGAUGGUGGUGGUAAGGAUCAUGAUCAAAACAUGGUGGUGGUUUAUAGUCACAACGCCAAUAUGUCUCGCACUCCUGCUGCCUCUCCACAAUAUGUACAAUAUUCAGAAGAAGAGGAAGAGGAGGAAAAGUAUCCAGACAUGAGACACUCUCUCUUUGAGGCAGAGGGUUCGGUGAUAGACAUGGUGAAACACUCCAAGGAGGACAAGGGAGAAGAGUUUAAGUUGGAAGACGAGAUCGACAAAGUGGCUGAUCUUUUCAUUUCAAGGUUUCACCAACAGAUGUGGUUGCAGAAGCAAAUCUCUCUAGAGAAUAUUCAAGAUACACCCUGAGCACCACACCACAUCAUCAUCUAAGCACUUUGACUACACCAUAACUACCGUUAUCUAUCGUUUCAUGGUCCAUUAAAUUAUUUACGGGCUCGUGUAUAUACGAAUUGCACGCAUAUUUCAGCUUUCAAAGCCUGUUAAGGCCCAUUCACCAAUCUAAUACUAUGUUAAGGUCACACAGUGAAGAGUAACGAGGGGUGAAGUAUAUGGUGAAUUGCACAUGAUGCUUCUUCUCUAGUCAUGUGAUGAUGUCUCUGUAUCCUUUUUUUGAAAUUUGAACCUUUUAUUUUUGUU